GACAGAGGCCUCGAGCGUUACUCGGAAUUACUGGGCGUAAAGCGUGCGUAGGCGGUUUGUUAAGUCUGUCGUGAAAGCCCCGGGCUCAACCUGGGAAUGGCGAUGGAUACUGGCGAGCUAGAGUACGGUAGAGGAGAGUGGAAUUCCCGGUGUAGCAGUGAAAUGCGUAGAGAUCGGGAGGAACAUCAGUUGCGAAGGCGGCUCUCUGGACCAGUACUGACGCUGAGGCACGAAAGCGUGGGGAGCAAACAGG
rnacentral:rRNA from 1 species